rnacentral:rRNA from 1 species
CCUACGGGAGGCAGCAGUGAGGAAUAUUGGUCAAUGGGCGCAAGCCUGAACCAGCCAAGUCGCGUGAGGGAUGACGGUCCUAUGGAUUGUAAACCUCUUUUGUCGGGGAGCAAGGCCCGCCACGUGUGGCGGGAAGGAGAGUACCCGCAGAAAAAGCAUCGGCUAACUCCGUGCCAGCAGCCGCGGUAAUACGGAGGAUGCGAGCGUUAUCCGGAUUUAUUGGGUUUAAAGGGUGCGUAGGCGGAAGGUUAAGUCAGCGGUCAAAUGUCGGUGCUCAACACCGGCCUGCCGUUGAAACUGGUCGUCUUGAGUGAGCGAGAAGUAUGCGGAAUGCGUGGUGUAGCGGUGAAAUGCAUAGAUAUCACGCAGAACUCCGAUUGCGAAGGCAGCAUACCGGCGCUCAACUGACGCUGAGGCACGAAAGCGUGGGGAUCGAACAGGAUUAGAUACCCCUGUAGUC